rnacentral:lncRNA from 1 species
CUUUGUUUCAGGGCACAUGCAAAAACAAUGUGUCCUAAUAUAUUUCCCGAAACCCUACAUGGCCUCAAUCAAUGUGACUUAUUUCGCCAAAUUAUUGCAGAACCACCCCUCACCCAAUUUGGUUGAGUUUUUGGUGUUUGGAUUCGCGGAAGGUUUCUAUACGUGAAUAAUUUACAUGCCUUUCGGCAUCGUAAAAUGUAAGAACCUACUAUCCGCCUUCACCAAUACAACAUCUGUAAAUAAUCUGUUAGAGAUGGAAUUAGAUCAAGGUUUUCUACUUGGGCCGUUUAGUUCCCCACCUUUCACAGCUUGGAGAACUAACGCCAUUGGGGAAACAUUCAGCUAAGCAAGGUUGAUUAUCGACCUCUCUGCUCCCCACUCUUCCACAACACCUAGUUUGAACUCACUCAUUCCUUCAGAAGAAUUUCCCUGCAGUACGCUAAUAUCGAUAACGCCAUUGACGCUAUUAUAACAGAAGGGAAGGGAGCAUGGCUUAGUAAAACAGACAUCAUUAACGCCUUCAGAGUGGCAAGGUUCCUAUUACUUUUUUACUCGUCUCACUUUUGUUGCAAAAAGUAACCCUAGGAUUUUUAUACCUUCGCCGAGACGUUAUGCUGGCUACUACCCCAAUGUCUGUAGAUGCCCCACAGUUAUUCACUAUUUGGAUGACUUUUUGAGUAUUGAGAGUAACCUAUUCCCACCCAAUAGCCUAAAAACAACUACCUAGCUAUUUCAAUCUUUGGGGGUUCCCGUCUCCCCUAAAAAGACAGAAGGACCCGACUCAUUGAUUAAUUUUCUUGGUAUCACACUAGAUUCGGUCAACAUGCUGGCCAGUUUGCCUAGAGACAAGAUUGAGCGCACCUAUCAAACAUCAACUUGUAUCUCUCUACUGAAUCCUGUAAUCACACAGAAAUCUAGUCCUUAUUAGGCUCCCUCAACUUUGCCAUGAUAAUUACAGGGUAGGGCUUUUAUAUCAAAACUGCUCAAUCUGUUUCCCCGGUUUCAGACAGUUCACGCAUUACACUAGAUGGACGCACUACAGCGGAUUUACGCGUUUGGCAGGUAUUUCUCAGAAGAUGGAAUGGGAGAAGGAGGUUUAUCACUUUACUUACCCCUGACUGCCUCACAAUUUUCACGGAUGCGGCAGCCACCUCAGGCUUUGCAGCUAUUUUUGGUGAUCACUGGCUAAGGGGGGCUUGGCCUAGGGAGGCAUAUAAUGGAAAAGCCUGGUCAGGUCAAGUGGUGAGGUGUCAUUCGGAUAAUUUGGCAACCUGCCAUAUAAUUAACAAAGGUCGUUCCAAUUCUGAGGAAAUUGACUUGGCUGGCAGCCAACCAUAAUUUCCUCCUGGUAUGUGUGCAUAUUCCUGGCAUUCAGAACGUAGCGGCUGAUCACUUGUCUCACUCUGUUUCAGGAAUUCCACAAUACAUUACCAACAGCAGCCCAGGUGGCUACCCUGGCUUCGUCAUGGCAGGAUACGAGAUUGGAUUCGGAGAUGUUAACGCAUGGCAGACUCCUUUUGCAACUAGCUUUGUCCGUCAACACUAGGAAGUCAUAUGACAGGGCUUUUCAGGUGUAUAACAAAUUCUUGUUGGACUUUCAAGUUAUAAACAAACACUUUAUGAAAACUAUUGUAGCCUUCACUUCUUUUUGCUACCUUAAAUUAAAAUUAUCAUACAACACUAUCAAAUUAUAUCUGACAGGGAUACAACACCACAUACUCACACUUUGGCCAAACACAGUUUUCUAUCUUCUUACCAAAUCAAAACCAUACUUAAAGGCAUUAACAUCAAAACUCAUGCCACCAUCUUCUAGAUCACCUCUCCAUAGUCAGCUCUUCAAAUCAUUAUCAGACCUCAUGGAUACAACCCAUCUUUGAGGCACACACUAAUCAUGUCAUUAAAACCACUAUCUACUUGGCUUUCUAUGGGUUCCUCAGAACCAGAGAGUUUACCACCACGAAUAUCACUUCCCAAGACGGCCUUAAGAGAUCCCAAAUUGUUAAAAUACAGGACUACAUAUUGUCCCUCAAACACACCAAAACCACACCAAAGGACCAGCUAGUAACUACACCCUAUCGGCAACAAAUGGUGUCCGGUGCAAGUCCUAGAUACAUUCCUAACCACCAUUCCAGGGUCUCCAAACCAACUCACAUUACACGGCAAGGUUCUCACUACCAGUAAAUUCAUGCUUUAUAUAAGCGUAUUGCUGACUAAGUUAGGUCUUAAUCCAUGCCACUACUCGGGACACUCCUUCCGCAUUGGAGCAGCCACCACUGCUUCCAGCAGAAACAUACCAGUACGUAUUAUCAAAACAUUGGGCCGAUGGAAUUCAUCAGCAUAAACCAGAUACAUACCUGAUCCAACACAGGAAAUACGUGAAGCAUUUUGUAACCUGAAUAUGUGAUGUAUCUUAUGACUGUCCUUGUAGGUUGAAUAAAUCUUGCAUAGUAUACUCUUUUUGCCC